CUUGGUCAUUUAGAGGAAGUAAAAGUCGUAACAAGGUUUCCGUAGGUGAACCUGCGGAAGGAUCAUUAACGGGUUUUGAAAUGGGUUGUUGCUGGCCUUCCGAGGCAUGUGCACGCCCUGCUCAUCCACUCUACACCUGUGCACUUACUGUAGGUUGGCGUGGGUUUCUAGCCUCCGGGUUGGAAGCAUUCUGCCGGCCUAUGUACACUACAAACUCUUAAAGUAUCAGAAUGUAAACGCGUCUAACGCAUCUUAAUACAACUUUCAGCAACGGAUCUCUUGGCUCUCGCAUCGAUGAAGAACGCAGCGAAAUGCGAUAAGUAAUGUGAAUUGCAGAAUUCAGUGAAUCAUCGAAUCUUUGAACGCACAUUGCGCCCAUUAGUAUUCUAGUGGGCAUGCCCAUUCGAGCGUCAUUUCAACCCUUAAGCCAGUGCUGCUUAGUGUUGGGAGCAUACCCUCCCCGGGGGGUAUCUCCUUAAAGUUAGUGGCGGAGUUAGGGCACACUCUCAGCGUAGUAAUUUCUCUCGCUCGGGUAGUGGCCCUGGCUGCUUGCCGUUAAGCCCCUAUAUUCUUCCAGUGGUUGACCUCGGAUUAGGUAGGAAUACCCGCUGAACUUAAGCAUAUCAAUAAGCGGA
rnacentral:rRNA from 1 species